rnacentral:rRNA from 1 species
UACGAAGGGGGCUAGCGUUGCUCGGAAUCACUGGGCGUAAAGGGCGCGUAGGCGGAUCUUUAAGUCGGGGGUGAAAGCCCAGGGCUCAACCCUGGAAUUGCCUUCGAUACUGGAGAUCUUGAGACCGGAAGAGGUAAGUGGAACUGCGAGUGUAGAGGUGAAAUUCGUAGAUAUUCGCAAGAACACCAGUGGCGAAGGCGGCUUACUGGUCCGGUUCUGACGCUGAGGCGCGAAGCGUGGGAG